rnacentral:lncRNA from 1 species
CCCCCUUGGCCCAUUGGUUGACCAAGGGUUAAUUAAUGCUUCUACACCAAGAGGUCUGGGGUUCGAGUCCCAGAUACUGCGAUUUAUUAAUAAAUUUGCAGAUUAAAUGAGGCAAGUGUGCAAGAGAUCUCCAGCGAAGUACAAUUAUAGCCGUUCGCCAGGAUUCUACGCAGAGAGAGAAGUGUCGUUAGGUCGUGGAUCAUUGAAGGUGUCCGUCAAGAGCAUGGAGAAAGAAGUGUCGUCUGUCGUGGAUCUAAUAAGGGUCGGAAGGAAUUGUCCGUUGUAGAAUCGUCUAUGUAACAGUUCUCAUAAUUUGCAAUAAAUAAUAAAUCUAGACGUCAAAAAAAAGAUAGAAUGUUUAAGGAAUAUGUUUUUAAUUGUGCUUUUGAGAUUUACGCAAACUAACUAGUCUGUGAGUACACUUCUUUGACUUUG